rnacentral:rRNA from 1 species
UACUGAGGUCUCAAGCGUUGUUCGGAAUUACUGGGCGUAAAGGGUGCGCAGGCCGCGCGGGCAGUCAAAUGUGUAAUUCAGGGGCUCAACCCCUGCACUGCGCUUGAUACUUCCGCGCUCGAGCUUUGGAGAGGAGUCUGGAAUUCUCGGUGUAGCAGUGAAAUGCGUGGAUAUCGAGAAGAACACUUAGGGCGUAGGCAAGACUCUGGACAAAUGCUGACGCUCAUGCACGAAGGCUAGGGUAGCGAACGGG